UUUGAAGGUACCGCAUAGUGAAGGGGCUUAUUGAGAUGGAUCUGAACUCUCAGUGUCUGUCACAAAGAAUAAUGCAGAAGUGUUUCCCAGGGACCAGGUGUCAGCUCUGUAUGAGGGUGAGCUGAUAUGGCAUUGCUUUAAUCCAACCCAAGAGGACUACUAAAAGGGGCAAACAGAUCUUAGCAAAGAAAAGCUGGAGAUAUUUCUAGAUUCCUUGGGACUGACAAGAGCAGAUGAAAAUUCCCAUGAUAUGAAGAAUCAACUUUCCAUCCCUGCCAAGUGAGGACACCAAGGCUAGAGCACUCUGGCAGUACAAUCAACUGCUUCUCAGGUCCUCUUUGGCAGCAAUGCAUGGCCUUCCCAAUGACAGAGCGAACAUGAUGACACCCGAAGGAGGAAGGAGCUGGCAACCAAUCAACCCCAGGUGAGAAAGAAUUUGACUUAUUUUUCAGCCUUUAAAAUCCAAAUGGUUCUUGGCAACACACAUACACACAAGCUGGAAAGGAAAUCUGGAGGGAGGAGCAGGGAGGGGAAGCAUAGGAAAUCCUAACCGCUCCACAAGAAAGUAGUUUCGUAUUGACAAUUAUUCCCCAACAUUGUAAUAAUUUGUGCUGUGAUAUGCUGGGCUUGUUCUGGGAUACACACCCCAGCUGCUGGAAAGGCUAACACAUCUGCUGCUUGCUGUGUAUGCUGUUCCUUCUUAACACUGACAGAUUAGGGUUUCUUGGAUCCAUCUUGUGAUGCCCCAUCAUUUGAAACACUUGAGCCACCAACAGAGCUGUUUUUAGCAUCACUGAUCACUGUUUGCUGAGGUAGUUUUUCCCCACCAUGAAAGAAACAGGAGAUGGAGCAUAUGUCAACUAAGGGCAUUUAUAUCGUAAGAAAUAAAAAUAAAAUUCUAAGUCCUCAAACUGAUUGAAUGGACUCCCUCUUGGCCAAGUGGACCCCAGAGAAACCUGAGAAGCUGACAGGUUGGGAGGUCAGACAUGGCUAGUUAUAACCACCCUUCACUAACUACCAUUAGGCUUCCUUCCCUAAGGGUUAAACAGAAACCAGCCCUUUCAAAAGACUCCACCACUGAUAUCAACCAUAUCAACCAACCACCUGACUGCUGUCCUUCUGCAGUUUCAUCACAACAACCCACCAGCAUUCCUUCCUGAUAAGGGCCUCCCAUUAUGGAAUGGUUCUGGCCAAUCUAUUGAGGACAUGCAGUGAGGAGUUUCAUGUCCUCUGCUUCACCUUUUGAUGUCAAAUGGCCAAAAACUCCACCCUUGGAUGGUGCUAAUGCUGCCAUUCUUUGUACAUGGGACCCCUGAAGGGACGUGACACUCCAUUGCACAUGACAUACACGUUUCUCUUUUCAUAAAUAACUAUGGCUCCUCCUGAAUAUGUAUAUUUGGCCACCUUGCUCAGCAUAAAUUCCUGUUCUCUUUACCCACUGCCUUGAAGUGUCUGUUUCUAGCUUCUGGCCAGAGGCUACACUUCCCAGUCUGCCAGAAUGGCCACCCUGCAGGCUGCAACCCUUUAUAAGAAAUAAAGCUCUCCCUUCCAAAUUUAUGAAUCUUGUCAUUCUUCAGUUGACAUCUUUUCCAGAAAGCACCUGUGGUGGGAACAAGAUGUGCCUGCUUCACUUAUGGAAAUAACUUUAAAAAAUACAACCUGCAAUAAUAAAUAGUUUGGACUUUCUUUUAAGAUUUCAGGAUACACCCUCACUGUGAUUUUUGGUUUUGGUAGGGUUUUUUUUGGCAUCAUGAUUUAAUAAAACUCAGUGGAGUCCAAACAUAA
rnacentral:lncRNA from 1 species